CAAACGCGAAACGUGUUAUGACUUGCACACUUUGCGAAUCACCAAUCUUUGAACGCACCUUGCACCCCGGAGCAUGCUCCCGGGUACGUCUGUCUGAGCGUGAAAGGUAGAAGUUGGGGUAUUGGGUGGAGAGAGGCAGCGAUGCUUUUCACCAGCCACCGCACCAGAGAUGAGGCACACGAGCUUGGGCUUGUUGCUUUUAAAAGAAAGGAGAGAGAACGAUUCGUUUGGGAUAACAUCCAACAAACAAACUCGCACUCCAUUUCCAUCGCAGUGGGAGGGAGUUAUAUCCCCCCCACCCACCACACACAUACACACCUCAGAUCAGACGAGAUUACCCGCUGAACUUAA
rnacentral:misc_RNA from 1 species